AUUGAAUGCUGGCGGCAUGCCUAACACAUGCAAGUCGAACGGGGGUAGCGAUACCCUAGUGGGCGGACGGGUGAGGAACGCGUAGGAAUUGGCCCACGAGUGGGGGACAACCUGGGGAAACCCAGGCUAAUACCGCAUACGCUCGCGAGAGGAAAGCGGGGGAUCUACGGACCUCGCGCUGGUGGACAAGCCUACGUCCGAUUAGCUAGUUGGCAGGGUAAAAAGCCUACCAAGGCGACGAUCGGUAGCUGGUCUGAGAGGAUGAUCAGCCACACUGGGACUGAGACACGGCCCAGACUCCUACGGGAGGCAGCAGUGGGGAAUAUUGGACAAUGGGCGCAAGCCUGAUCCAGCAAUGCCGCGUGGGUGAAGACGGCCU
rnacentral:rRNA from 1 species